CUUGGGAGGGUAAUGCUAGAACCAAGAGGGUGGGGCCCAGGGUCACGACUGACACCCAAAUUAUGGGCCCUUGGAACCUUAUUGGAGCUUAGGUGAGCACGCAAGAUUCUGGUGCCCAGACUUGCACCGAAGGAGCUUGAACUACCGACACAGGAGGUGGAAGAUCAACCAUGGUAGGUUGUUGCACAGUGAUGGAUGCAGCUAGUCAUGGUUUUCUUUAUACAGUUGCCCCAACUACCC
rnacentral:lncRNA from 1 species